UACGUGGGGGGCAAGCGUUGUCCGGAUUUAUUGGGCGUAAAGAGCGUGUAGGCGGCCUUACAGGUCAGCUGUGAAAACUCGAGGCUCAACCUCGAGACGUCGGUUGAAACCGUAAGGCUAGAGUCCGGAAGAGGAGAGUGGAAUUCCCGGUGUAGCGGUGAAAUGCGCAGAUAUCGGGAAGAACACCCGUGGCGAAGGCGGCUCUCUGGGACGGUACUGACGCUGAGACGCGAAAGCGUGGGGAGCGAACAGG
rnacentral:rRNA from 1 species